AUGUUGGCAGCUACUGUAUCUUGAUUAAUUUCUUCAGGAGAAAGUGUCCUUCCCAGAAGUGUCAAGCUUUCUUCUGUCCCUCAGACCAGAGGAGUCCCUAAGAAGAGAUACUUUAUUAUGGACAGAGCUUUGCAGUUGGUUGCAAGUGAAUGACAGGUGCUUCAGGAAGUCUGUAACCUCUGAUUUGGAGCGUCAGGAGGCAUCAUCGUUAUGUCAAUAUGUGCGCGGUCUUGUUGGGGAGUACCUUAAGACACCUGCAGCUGAAAG